rnacentral:ncRNA from 1 species
GAACGCCGUAUGCGGUGAAAGCCGCACGUACGGUGUGAACAGGGAGCGAUAAACUUCAAACUCUUACCUAUCUGUAU